rnacentral:rRNA from 1 species
GAUGAACGCUAGCGGGAGGCCUAACACAUGCAAGCCGAGCGGUAGAGUUUCUUCGGAAACUUGAGAGCGGCGCACGGGUGCGUAACACGUGUGCAACCUACCUUUAUCUGGGGGAUAGCCUUUCGAAAGGAAGAUUAAUACCCCAUAAUAUAAUGAUUGGCAUCAAUUAUUAUUGAAAACUCCGGUGGAUAGAGAUGGGCACGCGCAAGAUUAGAUAGUUGGUGAGGUAACGGCUCACCAAGUCAAUGAUCUUUAGGGGUCCUGAGAGGGAGAUCCCCCACACUGGUACUGAGACACGGACCAGACUCCUACGGGAGGCAGCAGUGAGGAAUAUUGGACAAUGGGUGAGAGCCUGAUCCAGCCAUCCCGCGUGAAGGAGGACGGUCCUAUGGAUUGUAAACUUCUUUUGUACAGGGAUAAACCUACCCUCGUGAGGGUAGCUGAAGGUACUGUACGAAUAAGCACCGGCUAACUCCGUG